rnacentral:rRNA from 1 species
CCCUUCGGGGGCAGAGUGACAGGUGGUGCAUGGUUGUCGUCAGCUCGUGACGUGAGAUGUUGGGUUAAGUCCCGCAACGAGCGCAACCCUUGAUCUUAGUUGCCAGCAUUCAGUUGGGCACUCUAAGGUGACUGCCGGUGACAAACCGGAGGAAGGUGGGGAUGACGUCAAAUCAUCAUGCCCCUUAUGACCUGGGCUACACACGUGCUACAAUGGACAGAACAAAGGGCAGCGAAACCGCGAGGUUAAGCCAAUCCCACAAAUCUGUUCUCAGUUCGGAUCGCAGUCUGCAACUCGACUGCGUGAAGCUGGAAUCGCUAGUAAUCGCGGAUCAGCAUGCCGCGGUGAAUACGUUCCCGGGUCUUGUACACACCGA